AAAGACAGGAGAACAGAUACCGAAAGAAAAUAUCUGUUAAAUUAAAAAAAUGGAGAUGAAUGAGACGAAAUGAGACAAUGUUUUCAAAAAUUCCAAUACCAAAAGCGGUUUCAACUUCUAUUUAUUAUAGAUUUUGCACUGCAAAAGUGAUAAAAAGGAAUCCAUGAAUGUAUACACAGGGCAAGAAAGAUACUAACUAAAAAAAGUUAUUUAUAGACAGGAGGAGUACUAAAUAUCCCAGGAAGCAGUUUUUUAUCCACGAGACCAGUAGGCUAUCUGGACUGUCACAUUAGAAAGACAGGUGAAAAAGUUCAAAGCAUUAUCUUAAGUGAGAUAAAAGGGAAAGGAAAGAAGAGACUACUAAAACUAGAGACUUUACAAAAUGAAAUGGCAAAGACAAAGACAAAGUACAAGUUAUGAGUCAUACCUGAAAUCAGUCACCGAUGAAGCAGAGAAAUUCAAAAAAUCACAAAAACCAGAAACGGCAGAGAAAACCUAGUGUAGAAGAGAUAGAUUUAAGGAUUCAAAUUUCGAAUAAUGGGAAGGAAACUGACCUUUGAUCGGAGGUAAGAUGCGGAAAGGUGUUGAUGGCGCGGCAGCGUCGGGGGU
rnacentral:lncRNA from 1 species